UCAGGGAGCAUCAAGAUGUCAACUGUGUUACCUUAGUUCUUCAAGAUGAAGUAGGAGGUUUGGAAGUCCUUAGCAAUGAAGAAUGGGUUCCUGUUGUUCCUGCAGAAGGCACCAUAGUGGUUAAUGUUGGUGAUGUUAUUCAGGUAAUCCUAUGUUUUUUUUUUGUUAAAUAUUUUUUUGAGGCAAUGUUUGUGUUAAUUUUGUCUUAUCAAAAUGGAAAAGCUUCUUUGAAAUAAAUUUGUUUCUAAAGUGAGCAAGUGAUGGUUUAUUUAUAUAAAGUAAUUAACUUUAGAGGAUUUGAACUUUUAAUUGAAAAAUCAAUAGAUUUUCAUGUAAUUAGAUCACAAUUCAUUUUAGAGCAAUGUUAUUUGUCUAGAGGAAUUUUUUUCCGAGCGUAUCCGGAUAAAUCAUUCAGCCAAUACAGUUGUUUCUUGACCGGCAAAAAGGGGGGCGUGGGUGUAAUUUAGGGCAGAUAUUUACUAAAAUCAAGGUUUGUGAAAUCCUCCUGAUAUUACCUUUCGCUGUAACCAACAAUUUCCUUCAUUUUAAAUUAGACUAAAUAGUCCUUUUGAAAUUUAAGUAUGUGAUGUGCUCUCACAAUAGUCUCGAAAAGUACCAAACCUAAUGCAUCCAUAAAUGCGUCUUUUGCUAG
rnacentral:lncRNA from 1 species